rnacentral:tRNA from 1 species
GCUCCUGUGGCGCAAUCGGUUAGCGCACGGUACUUAUUACAGCAGUACUUGUGAAGAUAUGCCGAGGUUGUGAGUUCGAGCCUCACCAGGAGCA